CCAAUAGCGUAUAUUAAAGUUGUUGCAGUUAAAAAGCUCGUAGUUGAAUUUCGAGAUCAAAUUGUUGGUCGUGCCUUGGUACGCACUGGCAUUAUUGGUUUCUCCCUUCUGACGAACCAUGAUGUCAUUAAUUUGGUGUCUUGGGGAAUCAGGACUGUUACUUUGAAAAAAUUAGAGUGUUUAAAGCAGGCUCACGCGUGAAUACAUUAGCAUGGAAUAAUGAAAUAGGACGUUUGAUUCUAUUUUGUUGGUUUCUAGGAUCGACGUAAUGAUUAAUAGGGAUAGUUGGGGGCAUUAGUAUUCAAUUGUCAGAGGUGAAAUUCUUGGAUUUAUUGAAGACUAACUACUGCGAAAGCAUUUGCCAAGGAUGUUUUCAUUAAUCAAGAACGAAAGUUAGGGGAUCGAAGACGAUCAGAUACCGUCGUAGUCUUAACCAUAAACUAUGCCGACUAGGGAUCGGAUGAUGUUAAUUUUUUAAUGACUCAUUCGGCGCCUUACG
rnacentral:rRNA from 1 species